CCUACGGGGUGCAGCAGUGGGGAAUAUUGCACAAUGGGCGCAAGCCUGAUGCAGCCAUGCCGCGUGUAUGAAGAAGGCCUUCGGGUUGUAAAGUACUUUCAGCGGGGAGGAAGGCGAUAAGGUUAAUAACCUUGUCGAUUGACGUCACCCGCAGAAGAAGCACCGGCUAACUCCGUGCCAGCAGCCGCGGUAAUACGGAGGGUGCAAGCGUUAAUCGGAAUUACUGGGCGUAAAGCGCACGCAGGCGGUCUGUCAAGUCGGAUGUGAAAUCCCCGGGCUCAACCUGGGAACUGCAUUCGAAACUGGCAGGCUAGAGUCUUGUAGAGGGGGGUAGAAUUCCAGGUGUAGCGGUGAAAUGCGUAGAGAUCUGGAGGAAUACCGGUGGCGAAGGCGGCCCCCUGGACAAAGACUGACGCUCAGGUGCGAAAGCGUGGGGAGCAAACAGGAUUAGAUACCCCUGUAGUC
rnacentral:rRNA from 1 species